GGAAGGCAAAGAUGAAGAAUGAAAUGAAGAGGAGAAGGAUUGUGAUGAAAUGGGACUAGAAAUAGGAUGGGAUAAAGGACUAGGACCAGGGUCAAUUGGAGGAGUGGUAAAUGAGGUCGGAAUAUCAGAAUGAGAAAGAAUAGGAAGUGGGAUGACUUGUAAUGACUAAUCAGAAUCAUGAUGAAUAAACUCAUCAAAAGGGAAAAUAUGCUUAAAAAAUAAGACAUCUCUACUAACAAAGAUUUUAUCAAUUUGCAAAUCCAACAAUUUAUACCCUUUCUGAGCGCUGGGAUAACCUAAGAACAGA
rnacentral:misc_RNA from 1 species